AUCCCGCUCGUCGGCGCUCCUGUAGGAGGCGUCGCAAGAGCCCUCGCGCAUGGCGUGAGGGCCCUUGAAGACGGGAUAAAUUUCGCAACAGGGAACUUGCCCGGUUGCUCCUU
rfam:Hepatitis C virus genotype 3, genome